UACGUAGGGACCAAGCGUUGUUCGGAUUUACUGGGCGUAAAGGGCGCGUAGGCGGCGUGGUAAGUCAGCUGUGAAAUCUCCGAGCUUAACUCGGAACGGUCAGCUGAUACUGCUGUGCUAGAGUACAGAAAGGGCAAUCGGAAUUCUUGGUGUAGCGGUGAAAUGCGUAGAUAUCAAGAGGAACACCUGAGGCGAAGGCGGGUUGCUGGGCUGAUACUGACGCUGAGGCGCGAAAGCCAGGGGAGCGAACGGG
rnacentral:rRNA from 1 species